CCUACGGGGGGCUGCAGUGGGGAAUAUUGGACAAUGGGGGCAACCCUGAUCCAGCCAUGCCGCGUGUGUGAAGAAGGCCCUCGGGUUGGAAAGCACUUUCAGUGAGGAAGAACGCCUGGUGGUUAAUACCCAUCAGGAAAGACAUCACUCACAGAAGAAGCACCGGCUAACUCCGUGCCAGCAGCCGCGGUAAUACGGAGGGUGCGAGCGUUAAUCGGAAUUACUGGGCGUAAAGCGCGCGUAGGUGGCUUGAUAAGCCGGUUGUGAAAGCCCCGGGCUCAACCUGGGAACGGCAUCCGGAACUGUCAAGCUAGAGUGCAGGAGAGGAAGGUAGAAUUCCCGGUGUAGCGGUGAAAUGCGUAGAGAUCGGGAGGAAUACCAGUGGCGAAGGCGGCCUUCUGGACUGACACUUACACUGAGGUGCGAAAGCGUGGGUAGCAAACAGGAUUAGAUACCCUGGUAGUC
rnacentral:rRNA from 1 species